AACCCGGUUUUCAGUGGCGUUAGAAGCACUGGCAGAGGGAUCUCAAAUUGAUGAAUUUGGACAGUUUCGUCUGCUGAAAAAGCUGCAGCACUUCUGUUCAGCCAGCAAAGAUACGGUAACCUUUGAGAGGGAACUGACAUCCCCAAAUCAAAUACCCUGCAUGAGAGUUUAAUUAGAAAAUGCUGCACCGAAUUGAUUUCUUCAAGUUUCGAUGUAUGGUUGGGAACUCAGUUGCUAUUUGUCGACCUCACAGUUUCCCUGGAGCUACUCGCAAAGCAAUUGCGAGGGCAGAAGGUAACAGCCAGAGAAAAAAGGAAGUUAAAAAGAACAUUGAAUGACAUUGCUACACUUAUUCCUGUUCCAAUUCUAAUGCUCCUUGCUGUAUCAGCAGUAGGUCAUGCAGCAAUGCUAGCAACAAUCAACAAGUACAUACC